AGUGUGUGCGUGCGUGUGUGUGUGUAUGGGUGUAUGCAUGCAUUCAUACCUUACUGUGAGGGUCUGCAAACAUCCUGGUGAAGAUUUCACACAACCUCUUCAACUCCACCCGACUGAGGGGGAGA